CCUACGGGUGGCAGCAGUGGGGAAUAUUGCACAAUGGGGGAAACCCUGAUGCAGCGACGCCGCGUGAGUGAGGAAGUAUUUCGGUAUGUAAAGCUCUAUCAGCAGGGAAGAAAAUGACGGUACCUGACUAAGAAGCCCCGGCUAACUACGUGCCAGCAGCCGCGGUAAUACGUAGGGGGCAAGCCUUAUCCGGAUUUACUGGGUGGAAAGGGAGCGUAGACGGUUAAUCAAGUCAGAAGUGAAAACGCAGGGCUCAACCUUGGGACUGCUUUUGAAACUGAGUAGCUAGAGUGCAGGAGAGGUAAGCGGAAUUCCUAGUGUAGCGGUGAAAUGCGUAGAUAUUAGGAGGAACACCAGUGGCGAAGGCGGCUUACUGGACUGUAACUGACGUUGAGGCUCGAAAGCGUGGGGAGCAAACAGGAUUAGAUACCCCUGUAGUC
rnacentral:rRNA from 1 species